rnacentral:rRNA from 1 species
UGUAAGAAUUAAUGGUCGAACAGACCAAAAUUUUAAACUUCUACAUUUAAAAAUAAUCUUAAUUCAACAUCGAGGUCGCAAUUAAUUUUAUCGAUAAGUACUCUAAAAAAUUUUUACGCUGUUAUCCCUUAAGUAAUUUAUUCUUUCUAUCAUAAUUUAUAGAUCAAUUCAUAAAUUAAUGAAAAAAAGUUUAUCAAAUUUUCCUAUCACCCCAAUAAAAUAUAAUAUAAAACUUUAAAGGGUCUUCUCGUCCUUUAAAUAAAUUUAAGCUUUUUAACUUAAAAAUUAAAUUCAAAUACAUUUAAACUAGACAGUUAAUAUUUCAUCCAAUCAUUCAUUCCAGCUUUCAAUUAAAAAACUAUUGAUUAUGCUACCUUUGCACAGUCAAAAUACUGCGGCCUUUUUCAAUGGGCAGAUUAGACUUUAUAUA